rnacentral:lncRNA from 1 species
CUUAAUUUAAAUUUUAAAACGCACCAAUAAUACAAUCAUUGAAAUUAGUGAAGAAACAAAAAGCGAGAAGAAAUUAGUACUACUACAAUAAAAAAAUUGGAAAUAUAAAAUCUCAUUAAUAAUCGACACUGACAUUAUCCAUGGAUUUUCUCUGAGACUCUUCAAAUUCGAUUUCAAAAAACAGAAUCGAAAUAGAAAAAGAAGAUCCACAAGUGAAGCUAAAGAGGUAAUGACAGAGAUCAGUACUCACCUUCUUAACAAAAGAAGCCUUCUCGACGAGCUUCUUCAACAUACUCAUAAAUACACACACACACACUCACUUGUGCUGCUCGGAGAACUCAGUCAAUGUGAAGAUCGAAGUUUUUUGAAUUAAACAAAAAUGGAGAAAGGAAGAAAAAUGGGGGAGUAUUGGGUGAGCGUUUAUUUAAUACCGAGGAAAAGAAAUGCCAAAAACAAGAGAGAGACAGAGAGAGAGAGAAGAGCAAAGGGGAGACGGCAGUUGAUUUUUACCGUUUCGUUUUUGUGAUUGGACAAGGAUAGACCGGUGUUUUAUUUUGUAAUUUUUGUGUCUUUCUUAUUCAAUUAGGGACACGUGGAGGCUGAUGAGGUUGAUCCGAAGAUUGCGAGAGAGAAACGGGUUGGACGGUGCCAUCGGGUAUCAAC